rnacentral:rRNA from 1 species
CCUACGGGUGGCAGCAGUGGGGAAUAUUGCACAAUGGGCGCAAGCCUGACGCAGCCAUGCCGCGUGUGUGAAGAAGGCCUUCGGGUUGUAAAGCACUUUCAGCGGGGAGGAAGGCGGUGAGGUUAAUAACCUCAUCGAUUGACGUUACCCGCAGAAGAAGCACCGGCUAACUCCGUGCCAGCAGCCGCGGUAAUACGGAGGGUGCAAGCGUUAAUCGGAAUUACUGGGCGUAAAGCGCACGCAGGCGGUCUGUCAAGUCGGAUGUGAAAUCCCCGGGCUCAACCUGGGAACUGCAUUCGAAACUGGCAGGCUAGAGUCUUGUAGAGGGGGGUAGAAUUCCAGGUGUAGCGGUGAAAUGCGUAGAGAUCUGGAGGAAUACCGGUGGCGAAGGCGGCCCCCUGGACAAAGACUGACGCUCAGGUGCGAAAGCGUGGGGAGCAAACAGGAUUAGAUACCCCAGUAGUC